rnacentral:rRNA from 1 species
GAUGAACGCUGGCGGCGUGCCUAACACAUGCAAGUCGAACGAAGCAUCCCGGAGGAAGUUUUCGGAUGGAAUCCGGGAUGACUGAGUGGCGGACGGGUGAGUAACGCGUGGGUAACCUGCCCUGUACUGGGGGACAACAGUUAGAAAUGACUGCUAAUACCGCAUAAGCGCACAGGACCGCAUGGUCCGGUGUGAAAAACUCCGGUGGUACAGGAUGGACCCGCGUCUGAUUAGGUAGUUGGCGGGGUAACGGCCUGCCAAGCCGACGAUCAGUAGCCGACCUGAGAGGGUGACCGGCCACAUUGGGACUGAGACACGGCCCAA